rnacentral:rRNA from 1 species
GAUGAACGCUGGCGGCGUGCCUAAUACAUGCAAGUCGAGCGAACGGACGAGAAGCUUGCUUCUCUGAUGUUAGCGGCGGACGGGUGAGUAACACGUGGAUAACCUACCUAUAAGACUGGGAUAACUUCGGGAAACCGGAGCUAAUACCGGAUGAUAUUUUGAACCGCAUGGUUCAAAAGUGAAAGACGGUCUUGCUGUCACUAAUAGAUGGAUCCGCGCUGCAUUAGCUAGUUGGUAAGGUAACGGCUUACCAAGGCAACGAUGCAUAGCCGACCUGAGAGGGUGAUCGGCCACACGGGAACUGAGACAGGGUCCAGACUCCUACGGGGGGCAGCAGUAGGGAAUCUUCCGCAAUGGGCGAAAGCCUGACGGAGCAACGCCGCGUGAGUGAUGAAGGUCUUCGGAUCGUAAAACCCUGUUAUUAGGGAAGAACAUAUGUGUAAGUAACUGUGCACAUCUUGACGGUACCUAAUCAGAAAGCCACGGCUAACUACGUG